rnacentral:rRNA from 1 species
AACGUAGGUGGCGAGCGUUAUCCGGAUUUACUGGGCGUAAAGAGCGUGUAGGCGGCCAAGCAGGUCCGUUGUGAAAACUGGAGGCUUAACCUCCAGACGUCGACGGAAACCGCGUGGCUAGAGUCCGGAAGAGGAGAGUGGAAUUCCUGGUGUAGCGGUGAAAUGCGCAGAUAUCAGGAAGAACACCAAUGGCGAAGGCAGCUCUCUGGGACGGUACUGACGCUGAGACGCGAAAGCGUGGGGAGCGAACAGG